rnacentral:rRNA from 1 species
AUGUCAGGUAUGGCGCUCGCCUAUUUUCGGAACCAUUUUGAAGCUGACCAAACUUUGCUCCCUGAGACUGUAGUGCCGCUGUUUGAGGAGGUGAUCACGGCCGAGAUGAAUACAAAGCUCUGUGGCCAGUUCUCUGAAAAGGAAAUCAGUGACGCGUUAUUUCAGAUUGGUCCCCUGAAGGCGCCGGGACCGGACGGCCUCCCGGCCAGGUUCUUUCAGCGCCAUUGGAGCAUUCUCAAGGAUGAUAUCAUUGCAGCAGUUAGCAAGUUCUUUGCUACGGGUAUUAUGCCGGAGGGAGUAAAUGCCACUACAAUUGUCCUCAUUCCAAAAGUGGACAACCCAAAGAUGAUGACGGAGUUUAGGCCCAUCAGCUUAUGCAACGUGGUGUACAAAAUCAUCUCAAAAUGUCUGGUCAACCGGCUCAGGCCUAUCCUUGGUGAUGUGGUGUCUGAGGAGCGGAGUGCCUUUGUCCCCGGGAGGCUCAUCACCGAUAAUGCCCUCAUUGCAUUUGAGUGUACACACUAUAUGGUAGGAAAAGGACCCGGAGAGGAGUUUUUGGGCUUACAAGCUGGACUUGUCAAAAGCUUACGAUAG